rnacentral:rRNA from 1 species
GACGAACGCUGGCGGCGUGCUUAACACAUGCAAGUCGAACGCUGAAGCUUGGUGCUUGCACUGGGUGGAUGAGUGGCGAACGGGUGAGUAAUAAGUGAGUAACCUGCCCUUGACUCUGGGAUAAGCCUGGGAAACUGGGUCUAAUACUGGAUACGACAUGUCACCGCAUGGUGGUGUGUGGAAAGGGUUUUACUGGUUUUGGAUGGGCUCACGGCCUAUCAGCUUGUUGGUGGGGUAAUGGCUCACCAAGGCGACGACGGGUAGCCGGCCUGAGAGGGUGACCGGCCACACGGGGACUGAGACACGGCCCAGACUCCUACGGGAGGCAGCAGUGGGGAAUAUUGCACAAUGGGCGGAAGCCUGAUGCAGCGACGCCGCGUGAGGGAUGACGGCCUUCGGGUUGUAAACCUCUUUCAGCACGGAAGAAGCGAAAGUGACGGUACGUGCAGAAGAAGCGCCGGCUAACUACGUG